GAUGAACGCUGGCGGCGUGCCUAAUACAUGCAAGUCGAGCGAACAGACGAGGAGCUUGCUCCUCUGACGUUAGCGGCGGACGGGUGAGUAACACGUGGAUAACCUACCUAUAAGACUGGGAUAACUUCGGGAAACCGGAGCUAAUACCGGAUAAUAUAUUGAACCGCAUGGUUCAAUAGUGAAAGACGGUUUUGCUGUCACUUAUAGAUGGAUCCGCUCCGGAUUAGCUAGUUGGUAAGGUAACGGCUUACCAAGGCAACGAUGCGUAGCCGACCUGAGAGGGUGAUCAGCCACACUGGAACUGAGACACGGUCCAGACUCCUACGGGAGGCAGCAGUAGGGAAUCUUCCGCAAUGGGCGAAAGCCUGACGGAGCAACGCCGCGUGAGUGAUGAAGGUCUUCGGAUCGUAAAACUCUGUUAUUAGGGAAGAACAAAUGUGUAAGUAACUAUGCACGUCUUGACGGUACCUAAUCAGAAAGCCACGGCUAACUACGUG
rnacentral:rRNA from 1 species